rnacentral:lncRNA from 1 species
GUAAUGUGUGUGGAAAAAAUAAAAUUCCUGUGCUGUUUGGCCCUCCUCUGUUUUUGUGAUGGUUUCGACUCCUUUCCUUGUUUCCUGAGGAGAGUGAGACAUGACGGUAGGUAAUGAGUUCAGGAGAUGUGUUUUACAUCCAUGCUGCACAGCUGGCUGGCACAGGCACUCUGCUUCAUGUGUGAGCCUGAGGGGACCUUAGUGAAGAGGUUAUGUGCCUUCAUGAAUGAAGCACAAGAGGAAGCUGGGGAUGGAGGCUCAUGCCUGUAACCCAGUACAUGGGCCAUUGAGGCAGGAGACGCUACAUAGGCUAAAGGACAGCCUGAACUACCAAGUGAGAUUUGGUCUCAGCAAUCUACAGAAGCAACUAUUGGGGAAAGACUGCGGUUAGGACAGAAACAUGCUAUAAUCUCUUAUUGUUGCUUAUUUUCUUUAAUGGACAAUAUUGAAGGUCCUCAGUGAUUAAUAAGGCAUGGCUAGUUAGUAUACUGUCUCUUUCAAAUGUGUCUAAACCUUAGAUAACCAGAUAAGGCCACCGUUAUAGUUUCUGUUUCGUUUUGUUUUGUUUUUAUCAUAGCCAGUAAAAUGUCUGAUCUCAUUAACAGAACAAUCUUCUGGUCUAAAAGGUUACUUUCCUACAGUAGAAACAGAUAACGAUGGCCCGGUCCUGAAGUAUGCUUAAGAGCUUAACUGGGUCUGAUGUGUGCAAGGCAUUUGCUUUGGUUCUCAGAUGUUUUGGAACACACAUGCACACACACGCACAUACACAGAGCUUGGCUUGUGCUUCUUGUAUAACUUAAGCAUGCUUUUCUAUACCUCAGUUUUCUAUUGGAAAGGGGUAAGACUAUUUUGUCCUUAUUAAAUCAGAGUAUAUACAAAAAAUGUGAUUUCAUAUUCAUUUAAAUACUGACGUUUUCCAAAGAAAAGCUGAUAGUGAAAAGUUACCAGAUUGUAGGUUUAAAAACAAUCUUGUGACCUCUGUUAGCUUUCCUUGAUCGUUCGUUCAUUUGUUUGUUUGUUUGUUUAUUCGUUCUUUAUUCCCAGGCGCUGUCCUUGUGUUCUUACCAGGGCUGGCAGAAAUCAAGAUGCUUUAUGAGCAGCUACAGUCUAACUCUCUUUUCAACAACAGACGCAGUCACCGGUAAGCCACUUGCUUUUUAUCUGCAGUCAUACACUGCAGCCAUCGCUGGAGAUGAAGAGCUGGAGGUCCCUACGGGCGGCCGGCCUCACCCUCCUUAGACUGUGAUGUCACCUCGCAAGCAUGCGAUUGUUUAUGCCAGCUAGAAAGGGGAGACCUCUGUGCUCCAGGAACUGUUCCUGCACUCCGUCAAGGACAGACAUUUGUCUUCACUUAUCAUAGUGACUCAGCAGAGCUGCGUGCAGUUUCAGUUGUCCGAUUUCUGAGGAGGGAGAGCUGGAGCAAGCCAGCAUUAAUUCUAACAAAGAAAGGCUGCCGUUUUGAGAGAUCACUGGAUGUGCCGUCACAUAGGAGGGCAAAGCUAGCUAACAACUUAGCAAUGACUGCCCUAGCUUGCAUCACACUUCGCCCCCCUUUCCCUGGACUUAAGGCAAAAGAAUAUUCUUGGCUGGUUAGUUUGUUUUAGUCUCGUUACUUAUAAAAUAUCAUUCAUUUAUUCCUCUUGGUGGUUUACUACUGAAUAACCCCAGAACGCUUCCCAGGUCGGUACAAGGUUUUUGUUUCUGGAAGACUGUAUUUUAUGAGAACAGAAGGAGCCCGCAUACCUUGAAGAGCUAAGCCUUGAAAGCUGUGCUCAAAGCUGACAGAUGCUGUCUUGGGAUUUCCAUUGAUGAGAAGAGACACCAUGACCAUGGCAGCUCUUAUGAGGGACAAGAGUUGACUAGGGCUAGCUUACAGGUUUAGAGGUUCAGUCAAUUAUCGUCAUGGUAGGAAGCAUGGCAGCCCCAGGCAGACAGGGUGCUGAGAAAGAGUUGAGAGUUCUAUAUCUUCACCCAAAGACAGCAGGAGGAAAUGUGUCUAGCUCUCACUGGCCUGACUUAAGUAUACAAAUGAGACCUCAAAGCCCCACCUCCACAGUGACAGACUUCCUCUAACAAAGCUACACCUCCAAUAAGGCCACACCCCCUAAUAGUGCCACUUCCCAUGGGCCAAGCAUAUUCAAACCGCCACAACUCUUGAAGUCAUUUAAUUAAUUUCAGUAGAACUGUACCCAGCAAGGUCGGUCAGUCUCAAAGGCUCAUGCCCGAGUCCUUACUGUGCUGCACUUCCUUUUAGAUGUGUAAUUCACCCGCUGCACUCAUCAUUAUCCAGCGAAGAGCAGCAGGCGGUGUUUGUGAAACCUCCAAUGGGUGUAACUAAGAUUAUCAUUUCCACCAACAUUGCUGAGACGUCUAUAACCAUUGAUGAUGUUGUGUAUGUCAUCGAUUCUGGGAAGAUGAAAGAAAAGAGGUAGGUGAAGUAACAGAGGGACUAACCUCUUUUAGGAUAACACGGCUCUUAAUGGUUACUGCCACGGUGCUCUAAAGGAAUAUUGUAUGUGGUUCCAUGGCCAGCGUCAUGAAUGUGAAAGUCAAACACGGAUGCACAAUCACAAGCAAUGGAUUCAUUUUCCCAGGUGACUUUUCCAUGAGCUUGGAUGAGAAGGAAAUGGCUAAAGCAAGUGUGUGUGGUGUCUGACGGACCUAAGUCAUCACAGCAGUAAUUACACCAUGGUCCCACAGUAGACCGGACCUAAGUCAUCACAGCAGUAAUUACACCACGGUCCCACAGUAGACCAGACUGUACAGCUCAGGAAUAAGGUGGAAGAUCACUUGUCUGUGCCCCGUCGUCUUGACAACAUUCUUAAAUGUAGCUCAGUAAAGCACUUGCAGGAACUAUGCUCAAUCCCCAGAACCACACUUAAGAAGGAAGGAAGAGCCGGGCAGUGGUGGCGCACGCCUUUGAUCUCAGUGCUCAGGAGGCAGAGGCAGGUGGAUCUCUGUGAGUUGGAGGACAGCCAAGGCUACACACAGAAACCAUGUCUCAAAAGGAAGGCGGGGAGGGAGGGGGAAGCUGGGAAAGAGGGAGAGGGGAAGGGGAGAGAGAGGGAGAGAAUGAAAGAAAGAGAAAGAAGAGAAAAGAAAGAAAGAGGGGAGAGAAGGAGGGAUUGAAGGAAGAAAAGAGAAGAG